GAUGAACGCUGGCGGCGUGCCUAAUACAUGCAAGUAGAACGCACAGUUUAUACCGUAGCUUGCUACACCAUAGACUGUGAGUUGCGAACGGGUGAGUAACGCGUAGGUAACCUGCCUGGUAGCGGGGGAUAACUAUUGGAAACGAUAGCUAAUACCGCAUAAUAUUGAUUAUUGCAUGAUAAUUGAUUGAAAGAUGCUAUUGCAUCACUACCAGAUGGACCUGCGUUGUAUUAGCUAGUAGGUGAGGUAACGGCUCACCUAGGCGACGAUACAUAGCCGACCUGAGAGGGUGAUCGGCCACACUGGGACUGAGACACGGCCCAGACUCCUACGGGAGGCAGCAGUAGGGAAUCUUCGGCAAUAGACGAAAGUCUGACCGAGCAACGCCGCGUGAGUGAAGAAGGUUUUCGGAUCGUAAAGCUCUGUUGUAAGAGAAGAACGGGUGUGAGAGUGGAAAGUUCACACUGUGACGGUAUCUUACCAGAAAGGGACGGCUAACUACGUG
rnacentral:rRNA from 1 species